GAUGAACGCUGGCGGCGUGCCUAAUACAUGCAAGUCGAGCGAACGGACGAGAAGCUUGCUUCUCUGAUGUUAGCGGCGGACGGGUGAGUAACACGUGGAUAACCUACCUAUAAGACUGGGAUAACCUCGGGAAACCGGAGCUAAUACCGGAUGAUAUUUUGAACCGCAUGGUUCAAAAGUGAAAGACGGUCUUGCUGUCACUUAUAGAUGGAUCCGCGCUGCAUUAGCUAGUUGGUAAGGUAACGGCUUACCAAGGCAACGAUGCAUAGCCGACCUGAGAGGGUGAUCGGCCACACUGGAACUGAGACACGGUCCAGACUCCUACGGGAGGCAGCAGUAGGGAAUCUUCCGCAAUGGGCGAAAGCCUGACGGAGCAACGCCGCGUGAGUGAUGAAGGUCUUCGGAUCGUAAAACUCUGUUAUUAGGGAAGAACAUAUGCGUAAGUAACUGUGCACAUCUUGACGGUACCUAAUCAGAAAGCCACGGCUAACUACGUG
rnacentral:rRNA from 1 species